rnacentral:sRNA from 1 species
UGAGUUACAAGUUUUUAUUAAUCCCACGAAAAGCCUGUAGAAACUGCUACGACAUAACUAAUUGAUUUUGCGUUAGGGUGAUCAUUCAGUUGACAAAUCUUUCUCACAGUAAAUUUAUAUAAUAUCACAAUGCCCAAGCCUUCCAUUGUGUUUGACUACCUCUCCUCCCUAACCUUAGUCUGGAUGCAGGGUCUUUAAGGUGUAUGAUAAAUGAGCUGUUUACUAAUUUCCUGUUGAAGUGAAUACACAUUUGCAAUUAUGGGAAUUUAUUAUUUGGGGGCAUCUGGCUCAUCCUUGUUUUUGUUUGUUAAACAGGAAAAGGACCAGCGCAGCCUAGACAUAAACACUGCCAAGUGCAUGUUGGGACUGUUAUUAGGAAAAAUAUGGCCCCUUUUUCCAGUUUUUCACCAAUUCUUAGAGCAAUCAAAAUACAAAGUUAUUAAUAAAGACCAGUGGUGCAAUGUCCUAGAGUUUAGCAGAACAAUUAAUCUUGACCUCAGCAACUAUGAUGAAGAUGGAGCAU